rnacentral:rRNA from 1 species
AGUGAACGUUGGCGGCGUGGAUUAGGCAUGCAAGUCGAGCGAGAACCGUAGCAAUACGGGGACAGCGGCGAAAGGGACAGUAAUGUGUAGGUACCUACCCCGAGGUCUGGGAUAGCUGCGGGAAACUGCAGGUAAUACCGGAUAAUGUCUUCGGACCAAAGGUGUGAUUCCACCUUGGUAGGGGCCUGCAUCCUAUUAGCUUGUUGGCGGGGUAACGGCCCACCAAGGCGACGAUGGGUAGCGGGUGUGAGAGCACGACCCGCGUCAUUGGGACUGAGGCACUGCCCAGACACCUACGGGUGGCUGCAGUCGAGGAUCUUCGGCAAUGGGCGCAAGCCUGACCGAGCGACGCCGCGUGCGGGAUGAAGGCCUUCGGGUUGUAAACCGCUGUCGUAGGGGAGGAAAUGCAGGUGGGUUCUCCCUCCUGUUUGACCUAUCCUAGGAGGAAGUACGGGCUAAGUUCGUGCCAGCAGCCGCCGUAA